GUGCUCGCUUCGGCAGCACAUAUACUAAAAUUGGAACGAUACAGAGAAGAUUAGCAUGGCCCCACACGCAAAUUCGUGAAGCGUUCCAUAUUUUU
rnacentral:snRNA from 1 species